rnacentral:rRNA from 1 species
UCGCCUGUUUUUACAAAAACAUGUCCUUUUGAUUUUUUAUAUAAGGUCUAACCUGCCCUAUGAUUUUUUUAAAUGGCCGCGGUAUCCUAACCGUGCAAAGGUAGCAUAGUCAUUUGUCUUUUAAUUGGAGGCUUGAAUGAAGGGUUGGACGAGAUAUAAGCUUUCUUUAUUAUAAUAAGUUGAAUUUGACUUUUGAGUCAAAAGGCUUAAAUUUUUUUAUAGGACGAGAAGACCCUAUAGAAUUUUAUAGAUUUUGGUAAUUAAAUUAUUUAUUUAUUUUUUAUUUAUUUUUUAAAAUUUAUUUUAUUGGGGCGAUAGGAAGAUUUUUUUAACUCUUUUUUUUAUUUUUCAUUGAUUUAUGUUUUAUUUUGAUCCUUUUUUAGAGAUUAUAAGAUUAAAUUACCUUAGGGAUAACAGCGUAAUUCUUUUGGAGAGUCCUUAUCGAUAAAAGAGUUUGCGACCUCGAUGUGGAUUAAAA